CGGACGUGUCUUAGACAAUUUUCUUCCUGACCAAUCAAGAACGUUAACGAAAUUAAGAAUAUAGGAUAAGACGGGCAAAUGACAAGUUUGAUUCGGAGAACCACUUGCAUGCCAACACUGGUCGCGUGAAUUUCAUCAUUCUUAUGCUGAAAAUUCGUAAAAACGACAACACAAAGCUGGCUCUCUCACAAAGAUCGACGCGAUGGCGCACUUUUUAUGUGUACACAUUUUCUUGCAACAAAGAAGUUCAUCAGAUGGCUAUGGCACCUUGAGGACAGCCUGAAAGACUUUUGUCCAAAAAUUCCUGAUGAACUCUGAUGCAUUGUAACAACUUCUCAAGACUUGGUGAUAGAAAAUCAUGUUAUGCAAACGAAAAAAGAAGUAAAAAAAGCAAAUAAAACAAUUUAGUGUUGUAUAAUAUCUUAUAUGUUUUAGUAUACUUAGUCAACCUGCACCGCAAGUACGAGCGAGUGGCCCUUUUAACUGAACGAGAGUACGGUUCACAUUCGUUCAAUUAGAAGGUUUCCAUUUGAUAAUUAUCAUAUUUUUUUGUUUCCUCUAAACGAUGCGUGAAUUUUAGCAAUGCAAAUGAGAUUUUGUGAUAUCCUGUACACAUACAUGACAUGUAAAUAUAAAAGUAAUUAAAGUAACUAGAGCACAUCCUCAACAUAAGCUUGUGGCACAAUACAGAAAUAUUUUCUUGAUGAGGGCAUUGAUUUAUUAAUUACCCUGAUGAGGCAUAGGAACUUUACCCGUAUACCACCCGUUAAAAAUUGUUUGGUAAGUCAUGGAAGAAAGCAUAAUGAUGAGGAUGAUGGUGUUGGUGCAAUAAUAGGUCUGUUUGCUUAGCUAAGAAAACAAACCUAUUUUAGGGCCCUCAUUGACACCAGUGAUAUUUCAAUGAUGAGGUCACCCUACGCAAAUGAAUAAAUAAAUGUGAUGUGAUU